GUACACGUCAGUACGUUCGAAUACGUUAACACGUUCUCACGUUCGAACGCGUUAACGCGUAGACCAGCUAAAACCAACUAGCGGCCGUGGCCUGUGGAGUCUACUAUAACAAGCUAACAGACAAACAAACAUUGUGUACUGAAAAUAGAACCGUUGUGGUGAGAGUAAUAAUCAAACCAGCUCAACGCAAACUGAUUUAAGAGUCCGAAGAACUGCCCAAGUGACACUUAAUCCAUUAGUACUCACCUGUUCCCAGUAGUCCCAGGCAUACCACAAAAUCAUGUUUGGUGACUCUCAGAGACCGGCAGCAACAGAAAAGAAGAUAACACAAGGUGACAAGCCUCCCAUCUACCUCGCUGACGUGACCAAACAUGUGCAUCGGUCGGCUGAAUAACUGCUGAGAGAGGUUUUUAUUCCCGUCUGCGAGACUUCCAGGCUGCCAGAGGAGAAUGUGGAGGAUCCAGGUGAUUGGCAGUUUGGAGGUGGACUGUUCUGCUGCUGCACUGCACAGAUUCAUUCUGUUAUGGUUUUCCUGUCCAGCUGCAGCAGCCUGGAUGGAAAUACAAGUUCUAA